CCGAAAGAUGGUGAACUAUGCC
rnacentral:ncRNA from 3 species